rnacentral:lncRNA from 1 species
UAAUUUUUGGAAACCUCUUUGGGCAUCAAACCCCACACUGCAAGUUGUUAGCCUAAAGGGGUACACAUAAUGUAAUUUUGAUGAUAACAAACAUGUGUCUUAAGUAAAAAUAAUAAAUAUUGUAUUUCACAUUUUCAUUAGUUUUUUAAGGAUAAUAUUUAUGCAAGUGAAUCAAGUGAAACCAAGAUUGAAGACACUCAACGGACAACGGCGACAUCAAGAAUAUAGUUUAGAGCUCAACAAACAAAUUAGUGCGAUAAAUUCUUGUAAAGCCAGUAUGAUUUAAUUGAUGCAUGAUUUAGCAUUUGAAAAGCUCAAGAGAUUAAUUUAAUUAAAUACUUUUCAUAAACUAAAAGGUUUUAUUUUUAUAAAGUAAAGUAUUUUGUGGAUUUAAGUAAUUUGGACUUAAAUGCUAAGAUUUGAAAUCUUUGAUUUUAAUAAGUAUAAAUUUCGGAGUUGGACGUUUUUACAAACAUUGGAAAUGUUUUGGGCCAUACUAUAAUUUAUGAAUAUUUUGGACUAAAGUGAAAGGUUUUGAGAACUUUGAAAAAUAUGAGUAUUAUGUUGAAAAGGACCUUUGUGCUAAAUAAUAAAAUCUUUGGGGCCAUAUCAUAAUUUUAGAAAGUUUAGGAAAGACAAUUAUUCUUAGGAAGUUCUGAAAUUGGACAUAUUUACAAAGUUUUAUGACUUUUUGGGCCAUAAUAUAAUGAUAUAAAGUUUUGGGCCAAAGUGUAAUUUCAGUGAAUAAUAUUACUGUAGCAAAAUUCAAAAAUAACGGUAAUAUCACUGUUCCUGAGCGGCUAGCCGGAUAAUCAAGUGGCUAACCGCUUGGGCGCGGGAAUUUGCCUAGAACGGCUAGUUUUCGGGCUUUCAUUAUAAAAACUCAACUCAAACUUCAUUUUAAGCACUAAUACAAGAAAAACCAAGAUCAUAUAACAUAUAUUGAGCUUCCAUUUCGUAAAUCAUCAUUUGUUGAAUCAUCAUUGAGCUAUAAUUUGUUUAUUCACUCUUAAAGAGAGUUCCAUUGUUGUGAUUUUCUUUUCUCAUCAAAUUGUGAGUGUACAAGUGUGGGAAACACUUGAGGUGAAGAGAGUAGGGAUAUAAUCUCUUGUUGUAAAGGUCCAUUGACACCUUGGAAGUCAAUUGUAAACAUUUGAAGCCUUGGGAGGCUUGGAUAAUGAAAUCCUCAAGCCGGGUGAGCUUGGAGGCGUGGACGUAGGCGGGGAUAGCCGAACCACGUAAAAAUCCUUGUGUUUGUUUUCUCUUCCCUUACUCUUUUAAUAUUGUGCUUGAUUGAAUUUAUUGUUUUCAUUUGAUUAAGGCAAUAGAUUAAAUUGUUGUGCGAAUUGUAUUGCAUAAAUUUUAAAAUCUCAAUUCACCCCUCCUCUUGGGUUGCAUAACUUACAUUUCACAAGUUCCCCCACCUACCACCAGACGGUACUCAGCACCACGCCAAGCCACAGUCACAGUCACGUCUACUGCACCAAUUGCUACCGCAGCAGAAGCCGAAAAAUAAACAAGUCCAUACAAAUCAAAUGACAAAUCAACUGAAAAAUCAAAUGGAAAUACAAAUCUAGGAUUUCAGCAAAUUAAAUACAAAUCCAUGGCCUAAACAAACCAAAUACAAAUUAGCUUGGUUCGAACCAUGUAGGAACAGCCGCGACGCGAAGGUGGGCAAGACGAGCUGCUGAUGAUGAUGAUGAACAGCCGCAAAGGUGGGCAAGUGAGUGUGACGACGACGAUGUUUUGAUUUGAUUUGAUGAAGAUGAGCUGAAGAGAGAGAGGAAAUGUGUUGAUGCAGCUGUGAAAGUGUAAAUGAA